CCCCCGCCCCGCCGGGACCUGCCGCCCCCCGGCGCCCGCCCUCAGAAGAUGGCGGUUCCCUCCGGAUCCCCCCCGGCUGCGUGAGGGGAGGGGCGGGCGCUCCCAGGGCCGCGUCCCGCCUUGUGAUCUAACAACGGCAACCGGCACGGAGCCGAGGGCGGGAGGGGGAGCGGUGCGGAGCCCAUCUGGUGCGGAAAGCGGCCCCUCGGGCUGCGGGCAGGUAGCGGGGCGCUGCCACUCGCACGUGUCGGCGGCAGAACGGCAUUUCUUCAGCGAGGUUUGCGGUACGGUUUCAAAGGAGCCAAAGGAAAGUCUGAGAAAUGCUGUCACGGUCCCAAGAGGUCUCCUGAGAUUGGUGACAUCAGAAAUGCUGCACUGAGAUUGAUUUUACCUAGAACAGGCAUCAAAGCCUCAGAAAUGCCCUGCUAAUGGAUGUUAUAGGGCCUAUGAAACCCGGGAGAAGCAGUUGCUGCUGAAGGCCUCCAGAGGGAGAUCCUGCCCCUCGAAAGCCGGGUGCCUGAGCACAGCUCUUUAAUUCCACAUCUCUGAGGGCGUCAUGAAGCCGGAUGGGCAGGGGUUGUGGAGAGCAGAAAACAGCAAAGAUGCUCCUGCCCAAGCAUCCUCAGGGACCAGCAUAAGUGAGGCCAACGGCUGGUUUAUGCCAGGGCAGCACCAGAACCAAAGGGCUCCCUCAGAGACCUGCGAGGGCUGAUCAAGUCCCACUGAAUUCUCAGAGGGCAGUGAGGCCCUGGCACAGCUGCCCAGAGCAGCAGUGGGUGCCCCAUCCCUGGAGACCGGGUUGGGUGGGCCCUGGGCAGCCAGAGGUUGGGUGGGCCCUGGGCAGCCUGAUCUGGCUGGGAACAACCAGCCCAUGGCAGGGCUUGGGCCUGGGUGGGCUGCGAGGUCCCUUCCAGCUCAAACCCUUCUGAGAUCCAUUCUAUGAUUAACAGUAGCUGUACAUUUUUUUAGUAGACAGCACUAAUGUCUCAUGUGGUUGCUCACAGUUGUCAAGGGAAGUCAUGUGUGUCCAUCUGUUUGUCCUUUGGUGCCGGAGAGCUGAAGUAUCUCAUGGGCCUAGCUGAGGGGAUUCCCUAACCUGCACACCCUGAAGGAUACAGCAUGCCAACAGGUCAACUUCUGUUGAAUUUCAGACCAAUUUCUGUUUGAGAUUUCUGUAGAGAAACACCUGAUGUAUGUUGUAUACCUUUGCACGUACAUCAGUAAAGUAUUCCUCAGUCAUGAGGAGCUGGUGACUUCAUGUCACUGUGCUGAUUUGAUUAAAAAUAGUUUCUGUUUAUCUGCUAGAACAACACAUAAGGUAGCAUAUGACACUAGACACAGAAAUAGAAUUUUCAAUUAUCAAGUCAAAAUAACAUAGAAAACCUGCUAAAUUCACACGCACAAUAAAGAAGAACAUGAAGUUUGGUAUAUGAUUCUAAGAUUGUGGACUUCUCCAACAGGACUUCUCCAAUCCCUGCAAAGGUUGGACAUGUCAAGUCAAGUACAUUCUUCAUGAGUUAUUCUCUUUUGCUAGUUUUACCUCUGCUCACCUGAUUUAAGGCAAAGUCAGAUUCACAUUAAUUCCUUAGGUAGUCCUCCAUGUCACAUCCUUCCUUACCUGUAUUUUUCCCUUUAUUUGGCAUUGCCCACCUUUAUGUCAGCCAGGUGGCAGAUGGGUUUGGCUUCAUGUACCACAGAAUAGUAAUGAAGCUGCGGCUCCUUGCUUUGAUACUCCCUUUUUUUUUCUGAGCAUUUGAUCCCUUACUCAUGCUGACAGUCGAGACUGGUCUGAGUCACACUCUUACAGGAUCUUUCUUGAGGAUUUUGGUAUUACUACGAGAUCUGCCACAGUGUGAGACGUAGUGUAUCGUUUUCCUGUCUAGAAAUGACUUUCCAGAAAGCUGUGCCCCCGAUCCUGCAUGUACAAACACACAUCAGGAUGUCUGUCCUUCGGUAUUCCCCAAAACUACUGUACAUAUCUCACACAUGAACCUAUUUGUAUAAGCAUAUGUUUAUAAGUUGCUGAAUACUGCAGAUGCAUGUACUAAGAUGAUUUGAAUAUGAUCAAAUACGUAAUUUAAUAUAAUCUGGCUUUGGCUUAACAAGACAAAUGGCUGAAGAAGGUUCAUUUAUUCCUGAGCUCUUGAAAACUGUUCCCAGCAGGUAUGAGUGAGUUCAGAGUGUGGUGUCUGCCCCAGAUAUUUUAUGGGAUGGAAGGGGAAGUGAAGUAUGGUAUAAAAGGAGUGAAGUGCACUGGGGAAUGUCUGCAGCUGGCAGCAUUUGUCCUUGGGAGCAUUCAGUGAUACAUUUCAUUGCUUAGGGAAAAUUGAACUCCAGUCCUUCUCUUUAUUUGCUGGUGAACAGAGGCACGAUAAACACCACAAUAUCCUGGAGGGAAGUCCAGGAAGAAGAGCAGACCUGUGAAGUACAAGUAAGGAUGUGAUUUUCAUUGUCAAAGGAUGGAGAAAGCACUGGAUAUCUUUAAUUAAAAAAUAUGCAGUAUUCCUGCCUUAAAAAGUAGUCUACCUGCACAAAGUAUUUAUUUUGGCUUUUGCUUGUAACUGAGUCCGUUAUGGCAAUGAUCAUUAAGAAACAAAGAUAUCUUACUUUCAGAGUCGAUGAAGCUUUGACUUUACCCAAGCAAGGGAGAAAGGGAGAUAUUUCAAUCUGCUGGAAAUGUUGGAUUCUUUUGGAAACCCUACAGCAUGUUUAAAAGGCCCAGGUCUGUUCCUUAUGAUUGUGCCUUACAUACCCUCUCCAGUUCUCAGAUCUUUAUGUUCAGGAGGAGAUGGGACUUAGGUACAGCAAAUGCAGGGGCUGCUUUACUGAAGCUGCUAGGUAUAAAGAGAGCACAAAAAGUUGACUAAAUUGCAUGGAUAAAAGCAAGCUUAUCACUGUCUUAGUCCAAAUUAGGCAAUCACAGAGUGCAUUAUACAUUCAUGAAAGUAGCAUAUAAUUGGUCACUGAAUCCUACACUUGAUAUAUUGUAAACAAAUAGGCAUAAACUAUCUAAAAGUAUAAGACUAAAAAACUCAAAGAAUUUAAACAAAACAUUGGGUCUGUGAUUCAAGAUCUGUGGGGAAAUGUAGGCUACACAUGCCUGGUGAGGACUACAAUCUGCAGUGCCUUGUUCAUGCCAGAGGUGACAAUGAAUUGAGCUGAAGGCUGACAGCUC
ensembl:lncRNA